UACGCAUGAUGUUUACGUUUAUUCAUUGUUACUCUUUUCUUUAACUUUUCUAAAUUAUUGUUGUCGUUUAUGUUUGUUAAAUAGUUACACAUCCAUGUUAACGUACAUGUAACGUUAGGCUAUUAGCCUAUUUUUCGAGUCAUUUGCACAUAACGUAACGUUACAUAAAACUGGUUUUGAUCAUCUUCUCUCCUCAGAAAAUCCAGUAUCUCUAAAAAUCUCAAAGGGUUCACAGAGCAGCACUAUUUAAUAAAGAAAUGUGGCUCUGUAGUGGACACCUGUGAGGCAGUGGACAGCUGCUGAUGUCUGAUGCUGGCUGACAAUAAACAGACCUCUCUGGACGUACCCCAUAUUUUGCAGAGUAAUUCUAACAUUGCCCUUCCUGUAACAUGAUGAUCCUGCUGUCCUGGACUGUAUAUGAUGAGGUAAGUAUGAGUUUGUCCAUGUGUGUAGACAUAUGUAGUGUACACACACACAUUAUACACACAUUGUGCACUUAAUUAGCCCACAACCAUUAAUCAAUGUACUAAUAUGACAAAAAUAAUUCCUGUGGUGUUCCUCAUUUUUAAGAUAAUUAAAAAAAUACCUGUGCUAAAUGAAUAAAUGUAAAUAUUUUGUUAUUUAAUUUUAUGUAAAUCACUCUUUUUUUCAAUGAACAGCCUACACAUAAUCUCAGAACAGCUGUGGUAAUAACAGGAGACCCAUUUGGUGAGAGCAGCACUGCAGACUUUCCUGAUGGAGGAGAUCCUGGACCAUUAUCACAAGACUGAUGAUGUGUUUCAGCGGCCAUCAGCAUCGUAAAUCCUCACAAUUUUUUUAUAUUUUGAUAAAAAAAAUGAUGUGCAUUUAUAAAAAUAUACUUUGUAUUAUAUCAC